CCUACGGGUGGCAGCAGUGGGGAAUAUUGGACAAUGGGGGGAACCCUGAUCCAGCCAUGCCGCGUGUGUGAAGAAGGCCCUCGGGUUGUAAAGCACUUUCAGUGAGGAAGAACGCCUGGUGGUUAAUACCCAUCAGGAAAGACAUCACUCACAGAAGAAGCACCGGUUAACUCCGUGCCAGCAGCCGCGGUAAUACGGAGGGUGCGAGCGUUAAUCGGAAUUACUGGGCGUAAAGCGCGCGUAGGUGGCUUGAUAAGCCGGUUGUGAAAGCCCCGGGCUCAACCUGGGAACGGCAUCCGGAACUGUCAAGCUAGAGUGCAGGAGAGGAAGGUAGAAUUCCCGGUGUAGCGGUGAAAUGCGUAGAGAUCGGGAGGAAUACCAGUGGCGAAGGCGGCCUUCUGGACUGACACUGACACUGAGGUGCGAAAGCGUGGGUAGCAAACAGGAUUAGAUACCCCUGUAGUC
rnacentral:rRNA from 1 species